rnacentral:rRNA from 1 species
GUCUAUGGCCAUACCACCCUGAACGCGCCUGAUCUCGUCUGAUCUCGGAAGCUAAGCAGGGCUGGGCCUGGUUAGUACUUAGAUGGGAGAAACAAUAUGACUCUCUGCUUUGUGGCUU